rnacentral:lncRNA from 1 species
CAGAAGAAGAAAAACGAAAGAGAAAAAGGAAAACGGUCUUCCAUCUUUUUCCUCAACAAUUUCCCACAACUUCUCUUUCGACCAACACACACACAAAAAAGAGGACUCUCACAGUAUAACAAAGAUAAAAAAGAAAAAGAGACUCUCUCCGUAAUCUAUCACUGGUCGGAAAACAAAAUAAAGGAAAAAUAAAAAUAAAACGAAGACUUUU